rnacentral:rRNA from 1 species
UACGGGGGGAGCAAGCGUUGUUCGGAUUUACUGGGCGUAAAGGGCGCGUAGGCGGCGUGACAAGUCACUUGUGAAAUCUCCGGGCUUAACCCGGAGCGGUCAAGUGAUACUGUCGCGCUAGAGUGCGGAAGGGGCUACUGGAAUUCUCGGUGUAGCGGUGAAAUGCGUAGAUAUCGAGAGGAACACCUGCGGCGAAGGCGGGUAGCUGGGCCGACACUCGACGCUGAUGCGCGAAAGCCAGGGGAGCGAACGGGAUUCAGA